AGCUAAGAUGCGAUUUUUUCAUUUCAUUGUCUUUUUUUUUCCAUAUAAUUCCAUUUUGUCUUUGUUAAUAAGUAUAGCCUUACUACGAUAUCAUACUAUUGCAGGCAGUGUGGAUAGUAGUCUCCUGUUAAAGCUUCCUUUCAGCACUAUAUUUGAGUAUCUUCAGAUGUUGCAAAUAAUUUUAAAGCCAAUGAAGGAUAUUGGCCCACGUGCAAUGUUCUAUCUGGUUGUUGCAGUAUCUGACUUUUAUAUUCCUUGGAAGGACAUGGUAUAAAAUUGACAUGAUAGUUCUUUCCAUGAAAGUUUCAUCCCUUAUUAACAUCAAUUUUGGCUUGAAUGAUUUUGUAAUAUGUUAAGAUACAAGAAUAUUAACCAUGUCAAUUUCAACAUUUGUGCUAGAGUUAGUUAUUAUUUAGAGAAUUAGCAUAUAGAUAACACUACAUAACUUAAUUAGUCCUGCUUAGAUUGUGAAAACUGAAAAGUAUAAGCAGAAAAAUAUUUAUUGUAUUUUGAAAAAUGGUGAUGAUAUAAGUACAAGUAGUUAUGACCUAGACUAGUGUGUAUGUUAUCUUGCAAUGAUGAUAUAAUGUGAUUGUGGAUCUUAGUAAUU